rnacentral:rRNA from 1 species
GACGAACGCUGGCGGCGCGCUUAACACAUGCAAGUCGAACGGAAAGGCCUGCUUUCCCUUGUGGCUUGCGGGUACUCGAGUGGCGAACGGGUGAGUAACACGUGAGUGAUCUGCCCCCAACUUGGGUAUAAGCCUGGGAAACUGGGUCUAAUUCCCGAUAGGACUGCAGGGUGGUGCCUGUGGUGGAAAACGAUUUUCUAGUGGUUGGGGUUGAGCUCGCGGCCUAUCAGCUUGUUGGUGGGGUAAUGGCCUACCAAGUCGGCGACGGCUAGUCGGCCUGACAGCGCGGCCGGCCGCAUUGGGUCUGAGUCUCUGCUCAGACCCCUACGGGGGGUAGCAGUGGGGAAUAUGGCACAAUGGGCGGACGCCUGAUGCAGCGGCGCAGCGUGGGGGAUGACGGCCGUCGGGUUGUAAUCGCCUUUCGACCGCGAGGCAGGCACGCGGUUAGAAGCGUGGUGGUGGUAGUGGUAGGAGAAGGACAGGCUAACUACGUG